UACAGAGGGUGCGAGCGUUGUUCGGAAUUAUUGGGCGUAAAGCGCUUGUAGGCGGCCUGUCAAGUCGCGUGUGAAAUCCCCUGGCUUAACCAGGGAAGUGCGCGCGAAACUGAAGGGCUUGAGUGCCGGAGAGGGUCGCGGAAUUCCCGGUGUAGAGGUGAAAUUCGUAGAUAUCGGGAGGAACACCAGUUGGGGAGGCGGCGGCCUGGACGGACACUGACGCUGAGACGCGAAAGCGUGGGGAGCAAACAGG
rnacentral:rRNA from 1 species